rnacentral:rRNA from 1 species
GGACAAGGCAAUCGAUCGUCGAUCUUUUUGACUACGCUAGGAUGGAUGGGAUAUCACAUUCAGUCUUAGAGGAUCAGAGUCUCGUUCGGGGGAGUAUGUCCCAAGCUGAACUAAGAGUGACGGAGGGCACCACCAGAGUGGACCUUCGCUUAAUUUGACUCAACACGGGGAGCGUGGCCAGGUCCAGACAUAGUAGGAUGACAGAUUGAUAGCUCAUUAAAUGAUACUAUGGGUGUGUGCAUGCCGUUCUUGUUGUGCGCCUCUCUCUGUUCCGAUACGAACGAGACCUUAACUGCUAACUAGAUCGAUCAUCUUAUGGUCGUUAUCUCUUAGAGGGACUAUGUAACAUAAAUACAUGGAAGUUUGAGGCAAUAACAGGUCAGUGAUGACAAUAAUGAGUCCUGGGCUGCACGCCUGCUACACUGAUGUAUACAACAAGUGCCUAGCUAGAUAUAGUAUGGCAAUCUCGAAUAUGCAUCGUGAUGGGGAUAGAUCUUUGCAAUUAUAGACCUUGAACGAGGAAUUCCUAGUAAGUGCAAGUCAUCAUCAUGCAUUGAUUAUGUCCCUGCCCUUUGUACACACCGCCCGUCGCUCCUACCGAUGGGGGGAAGAUAAAGGUGAACCUUUGGACUCAUUGGGAAAGAUAAGUAAACCAUAUCACCUAGAGGAAGGAGAAGUCGUAUCAAGGUUCCUACAAACCUGCAGAAGGA